CACGUAGGGUGCGAGCGUUGUCCGGAAUUAUUGGGCGUAAAGGGCUCGUAGGCGGUCCGUCACGUCGGGAGUGAAAACUCGGGGCUUAACCCCGAGCCUGCUUCCGAUACGGGCGGACUAGAGGUAGGUAGGGGAGAACGGAAUUCCUGGUGUAGCGGUGGAAUGCGCAGAUAUCAGGAGGAACACCGGUGGCGAAGGCGGGUCUCUGGGCCGAUACUGACGCUGAGGAGCGAAAGCGUGGGGAGCGAACAGG
rnacentral:rRNA from 1 species